GUUAUUAGGUGACCCGUUCAAGGCCCAGGAAAUUGCUCUGUGAUCUUAGUAAAUUUCCCUGAACGAAAUCUGUGCUUCGUCAAAAUACAAUGUGUAAGUUUUAGUACACAACAAUACUGAUGCCCUAAAGUUGAACAAAAUAAUUUGAAAUAAGCUCUAUUAGAAAACGCUUAUAAACACGUUCCAAUGAGUAUUUUGAACAACGGAGCAUGUGAAUGUUUAUAUUACCUUUCUUACGUUUCAGGCAGCCAUGGGUGCUAAGCAUGCUGCAUUUCUUUUGGUGCUGAUGGCCCUUUCUGUCAAACUAAAUGAAGGUAAUUACAUAGGUAAACAAACGACUUGUUAUGGUAGACAAAAGCCUAAUUGCCUCAUGAAGGAGAAUGGCAAACUGCUCCAUCAAUGCAGCCCACCAGAAACCCCGUGCCCUAUUCCGUGGAAGUUUUUUUGUACUGGAGGGAGUGAGCUUACUUGCCCAUAUCGAAAUACAACCUGUAUGUGCUUCUGUAACUUCACAAGCACGAGCAAGACAGGCGAAACGCCACAAGCCGUUGAGCAGUUUUGAGAGCACUCACAAUUUCUACUGUGGCACCAUCAGUAAAAAGCAACGACUCAGC